UUGAUUGGUCGAGAGACCUUAUCAGAUUCUACCACCUCUGUGAACCGUUGACCUCCGGGUUAAUAAUCAAACAUCAGUGUAACGAACGUAAGAGUAUCUUAAUUAAACA
rnacentral:misc_RNA from 1 species